GUUGCCAGGGUGAUGGUGAAGCAGAUUACGAGUGAACGGGUCAAGUCGGCAGCAGCGAACAAAGUGGCCAGCGGCAACGUCCUGCUGACAGUCCACAAAACUACUUCUUCUACAUCUUCCUCCAUCAAAUAUGAUUCUGCUACUAGGCUGCGUGUGAUUGGAACCUGAGAUUUACAGUCUUUAAAUGCCCCUGCAAUGGGAUGAAGAUUGUGACCAGCCACCUUACCUGCAUCCCUGAAGAUUCUGUAUACCACGUGAACUGUUGCGAAGUAAGUUUCGAACCCAUCUAUCAACUCUGGCCCACAGAUCUGGCGGUUGACAUCGGAAAGACGAGGA